GUUACAGAUGCUGAGAGAGUGACAGUAGAUUUGGCAUCUUCUCCCAUCUGACUGUUUUAACCCAGCUCUCUCUAUUUUUUUUCCUCUUCUGGAAAGUCAUUCAAACGUAAUAAUGGAUUUUUUCUUUCGGUCUUGGAGUAAAUGGGGCGGGACCAGAGUCACAGCUCUCAUGAGCAUGGAAUCAAGCACAUACAGAUAAGCUCCCAUGCCACAAACUUUUAAAGAAACGGACGCCAUCAGAGGAAUACUGUGAUUUAAGGAUGCUCUUACACUGACUUGGAGUAUCCAUCCCAGACAACUUAUACAACACCAUGACGUGGCAAUAAGGAUGUUCAUGUACAACAAACUUGAGCAAAAUGCAAGCACUCCAUUUGUAAUGUUCAAUUCCAGUGUUUGUGUAUGCAAAUUAAUGUACUCAUAUUUAUUGUCUUUUGUAGUUACAUGCAUGACAACCUGGAAUUUUUAACCAGAAAAUCAAACCUUUUAGCCAACGGACUUGCUUUAAAGUGUUAAAAAAAAAAAAAAAAAACACUCUUUAAAACCUAUUUACCUCAAAAUGCCUUGAUAGAACUCAAUAAAAGAUUUGUCAACUAAAUGACAAAAAAUAUUUUGUCAAAUGAGAUGAGUCGUCAUUUAUACUCAUAUUCAUGUUGUUCCAAACCCAAACGACUGACUUUCUUCUGUGGGAGGAACUCAAAAAGAGAUGUCAGGAAUUAUGUUAGGGACUGACAGCCUCGCUUUCAUUUCAGCCUCAUUGGCAUCAUCUACAUUUUACAAUGUAUUCCCAUAUUCCACAGAAGAAACUAAAUAGUACAGGUUUUAAAAAAUCAUGAGGGUGAGUAAAUGACAGAAUUUCCAUUUUUAAGCAAGUCAACCCAAAGACAAUGUUACGGUUUAUUAAAAUUUUGUAUUGCACUUUCAUUUCAAGGCAUGACAUUGUAACUUAAAAGAAA